rnacentral:misc_RNA from 1 species
AUGUGUUUCCACCAAAAAGGAAAUCUCAAAAUAAACAAAUUUAGAAUUUUUAGUAAUAGUUGAUCAAUUAACUUUUCUUCAAUUAUCUCAAAUUUAGUAUUUUGUACUCCACCGGCAAGUGAUAUUGGAUUUGCUAUCAGUUCACCAGUGAGAUGUGUACAUAAAAAAAAGUAGACAAAACAAGGCACAUAACCUAACAUUGCAGCCAGGAAAUUGUAACAGUUGUAACAUGAGACAUUGCUGUGGCGUGUGUCUAAUACAGUCUUGUUUAAUCUGCGUAUACAAGUUUAUGUACUCGUUUUUCUAAAACUCCCGGCAUCUUUUAAUUAAAUAAACAAAUUAUUAUUUAUUUGCCUUUCGUCCAAAAAUAUACAAAGAAAGAUGGAUUAUAUCUUUUGACCUUUUUUAAAGUUAGCCUAUAUUUUAUACUUAGAAAAUUAAUCCUGAUUUAAUUGUCAGCUGCUAACAGUGCAAACCAAGGGAAAUAUGAAGCCCCAAGGCAAGGAUGAACUUCUUGAACUUUCAUCUGAAGAAUCACAAUCUGAAGAUGAUGAAGAUGGAUGGAUGUUAACUGAGGAAGUAGAGAAAAACUUCUAUGAUACUUUGUCAAAGAUCAAAAAUAGAGAUCCAAAGAUUUAUGAAAAAGAUGUAGAGUUCUUUAAAGAUAUACAAAAACCUGAAUAUGUAAAAAAGAAUUCAAAGACGAAGCCAUUGACACUACAAGACUAUGAGCGAAAAAUGAUUAUUGAGAAAGGAGCUGAAUGGAGUGAAGAAGAUUCUGAAACAGAUGAUAAAAACAUAGAUCAUCUAGAGCCCACAUAUGUUCAGGAACAAGAAGAUUUGAAGAAAAGUUUUAAAGCAGUCAUAAAUUCAAGCUCUGAAGAUGAUGAAGAAAGUGAUUGGGCUGGUUUCUUAAAAAAAAGAGAGAAGGCUGCUGCAGAAAAGGCAACAGAGGAGGAAGAUUUCAAAGAAUGGCUGAAGGAACAAGAGAGCAGACCAGAGACUGAGAUAGAAACUGAACCACUCCAAGACUACUGGUCAAACCCAGAGCUGAAUAAGGAUGACCAGUUUUUAAGAGAUUACAUUCUCAACAAGAAAUUCCUGGAUAAAGAUGAAGAAGAUAACAUACUAGCGAAAGAUGCGGUGGAUUUUGAGGCUGAAGACAAUUACAAUCAUCGUUUUGAAGAACCUGAUCAAGAGUUUAUUAAAAGAUACCCUCGGACAAUGGAAAACUCAUUGAGGAGAAAAAAUGACAGUCGUAAGAAAAAAAGGGAAGAGGUGAAGGAAAGGAAAUUGAAGGAUAAACAGAAGAAAAGGGCAGAGAUUAACAGGAAAAAAAAUAUGAUGAGAAAAGAAAUCGAGGAUAAGAUAGAAGAGCUGAAGAAGCUUACAGGAAAUGAUCAAGUUGAGAACAUAAUGAAUGAUGAAGAUUUUGACAUUGAUGACUAUGACAAGGCGAUGCAGAAGUUGUUCAACGACGAGUUUUACUGCCAGGAUGACCCAGACUUCAAACCCAGUGGUGCAUCAGAUUUUCAAGAUAAUUGGGGUGAUGAAGGGGGAAACGAAGAUGCUGGUGAAACAGAAGAGUAUAAUAACACAGAUCAUCAUGAAGAGUAUCAAUACGAUGGAAGCUUGGAAGGAUAUGGUGAAACUGCUGAUGACAAUGAAUCUCUUAACUGUGAAGAUCCUAAUUUCAACAUGGACUGUGACUAUGAUCCGACAUUGAAUAAACCGAAGAAGGACUCGAGAAGUAGAAGAAGAAAGGACAAACAUCGCAGAACCUUUUUGAGUGAAGCUGUGAGCAAAGAGAAACCCAUAUUUAAUCCCACAACACACAAAUCAUUCCAGGAGUACGUAGACCAGUACUACGCCAUAGACUGUGAGGAUUUCAUUGGUGACUUGCCUUGUCGGUUCAAAUACAGGCGAACUGUUCCCAACUCGUAUGGCCUCACCAUAGAAGAGAUUAGUCUACCGUGGCUACCUUAUUACAGAUUCUUACUGCGGAUGAGAAGGAGCUGGAGCGGUGGUGUUCUAUUAAACGUAUCGGUCUGAGAAGACCAGAGUUCAAGGAGAAAGGGGACUUAAAAGUCUUUCAAAAGAAAGCUGCUGAUGAAAGGUUGAAAAGAAAAAUACUCCCAAGCCUGUACAAAAAGCAAGAAGAAGAAGAAGAAGGAAAUGCAAUGCGUGAGGAAAAAAUUGAUAAUUGUAAAAAUAAUGAAUCAAAGACUUUACCCGAUGAAUGUGCAAUCAAGGGAAAUAGCAAAGAAUUAGAAAAUAUUAAUGAAAAUAAAACUAAUCUUACACUAGAAGCUACUAACAUAAUGAAAAAACCAA